UCCUUGGAGGACUAGUGGUUAAGCCUCAGGGCUCUCACCGCCGCGGCCCAGGUUCAAUUCUCGGCCAGGGAA